GGCCUAAUACAUGCAAGUCGAGGGGCAGCACAGGUAGCAAUACUUGGUGGCGACCGGCGCACGGGUGCGUAACACGUUUGUAAUCUACCCAUCACAGGAGUAUAGCUCGGAGAAAUCCGGAUUAAUCCUCCAUAACAUCCCGCCAGGCAUCUGGCAGGAUUAAAAGCUACGGCGGUGAAGGAUGAACACGCGACUGAUUAGUUAGUUGGUGAGGUAACGGCUCACCAAGACCACGAUCAGUAGGGGUACUGAGAGGUUAAACCCCCACACUGGUACUGAGACACGGACCAGACUCCUACGGGAGGCAGCAGUAAGGAAUAUUGGACAAUGGGGGCAACCCUGAUCCAGCCAUGCCGCGUGCAGGAAGACAGACCUAUGGUUUGGAAACUGC
rnacentral:rRNA from 1 species